ACCUAUAUAGAUUUAUGUGCGAAUAUUCAUAUAACAUAAAGGUCUGAAAUACUUUCCAAACAAAUGGAUCUUAACGUGAGCCGAAAAAAAAAAUGGGUUCGAACUAGUGAAUGACAAUGAAUAGGGUAUUAACUACCACCUAGACAAGGUUAACAUAGUAGCUGAUGCCUUGAGUCGUAAGAUUCAAUCUAAGUUGGAAUUCUCCCCAC
rnacentral:lncRNA from 1 species